UAAGCGACUAAGCGUACACGGUGGAUGCCCUGGCAGUCAGAGGCGAUGAAGGACGUGCUAAUCUGCGAUAAGCGUCGGUAAGGUGAUAUGAACCGUUAUAACCGGCGAUUUCCGAAUGGGGAAACCCAGUGUGUUUCGACACACUAUCAUUAACUGAAUCCAUAGGUUAAUGAGGCGAACCGGGGGAACUGAAACAUCUAAGUACCCCGAGGAAAAGAAAUCAACCGAGAUUCCCCCAGUAGCGGCGAGCGAACGGGGAGCAGCCCAGAGCCUGAAUCAGUGUGUGUGUUAGUGGAAGCGUCUGGAAAGGCGCGCGAUACAGGGUGACAGCCCCGUACACAAAAAUGCACAUGCUGUGAGCUCGAUGAGUAGGGCGGGACACGUGGUAUCCUGUCUGAAUAUGGGGGGACCAUCCUCCAAGGCUAAAUACUCCUGACUGACCGAUAGUGAACCAGUACCGUGAGGGAAAGGCGAAAAGAACCCCGGCGAGGGGAGUGAAAAAGAACCUGAAACCGUGUACGUACAAGCAGUGGGAGCACGCUUAGGCGUGUGACUGCGUACCUUUUGUAUAAUGGGUCAGCGACUUAUAUUCUGUAGCAAGGUUAACCGAAUAGGGGAGCCGAAGGGAAACCGAGUCUUAACUGGGCGUUAAGUUGCAGGGUAUAGACCCGAAACCCGGUGAUCUAGCCAUGGGCAGGUUGAAGGUUGGGUAACACUAACUGGAGGACCGAACCGACUAAUGUUGAAAAAUUAGCGGAUGACUUGUGGCUGGGGGUGAAAGGCCAAUCAAACCGGGAGAUAGCUGGUUCUCCCCGAAAGCUAUUUAGGUAGCGCCUCGUGAAUUCAUCUCCGGGGGUAGAGCACUGUUUCGGCAAGGGGGUCAUCCCGACUUACCAACCCGAUGCAAACUGCGAAUACCGGAGAAUGUUAUCACGGGAGACACACGGCGGGUGCUAACGUCCGUCGUGAAGAGGGAAACAACCCAGACCGCCAGCUAAGGUCCCAGAGUCAUGGUUAAGUGGGAAACGAUGUGGGAAGGCCCAGACAGCCAGGAUGUUGGCUUAGAAGCAGCCAUCAUUUAAAGAAAGCGUAAUAGCUCACUGGUCGAGUCGGCCUGCGCGGAAGAUGUAACGGGGCUAAACCAUGCACCGAAGCUGCGGCAGCGACACUAUGUGUUGUUGGGUAGGGGAGCGUUCUGUAAGCCUGUGAAGGUGUGCUGUGAGGCAUGCUGGAGGUAUCAGAAGUGCGAAUGCUGACAUAAGUAACGAUAAAGCGGGUGAAAAGCCCGCUCGCCGGAAGACCAAGGGUUCCUGUCCAACGUUAAUCGGGGCAGGGUGAGUCGACCCCUAAGGCGAGGCCGAAAGGCGUAGUCGAUGGGAAACAGGUUAAUAUUCCUGUACUUGGUGUUACUGCGAAGGGGGGACGGAGAAGGCUAUGUUGGCCGGGCGACGGUUGUCCCGGUUUAAGCGUGUAGGCUGGUUUUCCAGGCAAAUCCAGAAAAUCAAGGCUGAGGCGUGAUGACGAGGCACUACGGUGCUGAAGCAACAAAUGCCCUGCUUCCAGGAAAAGCCUCUAAGCAUCAGGUAACAUCAAAUCGUACCCCAAACCGACACAGGUGGUCAGGUAGAGAAUACCAAGGCGCUUGAGAGAACUCGGGUGAAGGAACUAGGCAAAAUGGUGCCGUAACUUCGGGAGAAGGCACGCUGAUAUGUAGGUGAGGUCCCUCGCGGAUGGAGCUGAAAUCAGUCGAAGAUACCAGCUGGCUGCAACUGUUUAUUAAAAACACAGCACUGUGCAAACACGAAAGUGGACGUAUACGGUGUGACGCCUGCCCGGUGCCGGAAGGUUAAUUGAUGGGGUUAGCGCAAGCGAAGCUCUUGAUCGAAGCCCCGGUAAACGGCGGCCGUAACUAUAACGGUCCUAAGGUAGCGAAAUUCCUUGUCGGGUAAGUUCCGACCUGCACGAAUGGCGUAAUGAUGGCCAGGCUGUCUCCACCCGAGACUCAGUGAAAUUGAACUCGCUGUGAAGAUGCAGUGUACCCGCGGCAAGACGGAAAGACCCCGUGAACCUUUACUAUAGCUUGACACUGAACAUUGAGCCUUGAUGUGUAGGAUAGGUGGGAGGCUUAGAAGUGUGGACGCCAGUCUGCAUGGAGCCGACCUUGAAAUACCACCCUUUAAUGUUUGAUGUUCUAACGUUGACCCGUAAUCCGGGUUGCGGACAGUGUCUGGUGGGUAGUUUGACUGGGGCGGUCUCCUCCUAAAGAGUAACGGAGGAGCACGAAGGUUGGCUAAUCCUGGUCGGACAUCAGGAGGUUAGUGCAAUGGCAUAAGCCAGCUUGACUGCGAGCGUGACGGCGCGAGCAGGUGCGAAAGCAGGUCAUAGUGAUCCGGUGGUUCUGAAUGGAAGGGCCAUCGCUCAACGGAUAAAAGGUACUCCGGGGAUAACAGGCUGAUACCGCCCAAGAGUUCAUAUCGACGGCGGUGUUUGGCACCUCGAUGUCGGCUCAUCACAUCCUGGGGCUGAAGUAGGUCCCAAGGGUAUGGCUGUUCGCCAUUUAAAGUGGUACGCGAGCUGGGUUUAGAACGUCGUGAGACAGUUCGGUCCCUAUCUGCCGUGGGCGCUGGAGAACUGGAGGGGGGCUGCUCCUAGUACGAGAGGACCGGAGUGGACGCAUCACUGGUGUUCGGGUUGUCAUGCCAAUGGCACUGCCCGGUAGCUAAAUGCGGAAGAGAUAAGUGCUGAAAGCAUCUAAGCACGAAACUUGCCCCGAGAUGAGUUCUCCCUGACCCUUUAAGGGUCCUGAAGGAACGUUGAAGACGACGACGUUGAUAGGCCGGGUGUGUAAGCGCAGCGAUGCGUUGAGCUAACCGGUACUAAUGAACCGUGAGGCUUAACCU
rnacentral:rRNA from 1 species